UCCAGCUUUCCCACGUUCAUAGCCAUGCGCAUUUCGGCCUGGGAAAUUCCUUUCGUGCCUCUGCUUUCAACUGUUUGGAGAAAGAAGGAGACGUCUCGAAUCCCAACACCGCGGCAGACUGUAAAUGAGCUGGUGGAGUGCGGAAGUCAUCGUUGAGCCUCUCCGCAGCAGUGAACACCUAGACAGAAGAGUCCUUUCGAUUCGAUAAUUUCCUCCAGUUCUACGCUGGCACAGAUUCGGAUUUCAACGUGUUAGUCGCUGACUUUUCAAACGGACAGGAAAGGGGUUUCCGGGCCCAGCGUCCUCGGCCCAAUAGCUACGUGGAGAUGAAGUCCGGCAUCUCACCAGUUCUUCCCGCAGGGCUCCUAGGGUAUCCAUCUGAUGAGUUCGAGUGCUCAGCAUGGUGGUCAACUUCUCCAUUAAGAUGUCAUAUUUACUCCUUCUACGACAAAACCGAGGCAAAGGCAAAUUUUUCAACUCCACGGUCACAGAUUAUUUGCCCUUUUAAAUAUCUCGGUACCAAAAUCUAACUGGUUACCACCUAUAAGGAGCUCGUUCACCCGGUCGGCAUUCCAAAAUGAAAAAUAAAGGAUCGUAACCCCCGUGUCGCUCUU